rnacentral:rRNA from 1 species
UAAACGGNUACACCUAAAUUUAUAUCUUAAUCCAACAUCGAGGUCGCAAUCUUUUUUAUCAAUAUGAACUCUCCAAAAAAAUUACGCUGUUAUCCCUAAAGUAACUUAAUUUUUUAAUCAUUAAAAAUGGAUCAUUUAUUCAUAAAUUAAUGUUUUAAAUUUUAAAAGUUAUUUAAAUUUUAAUAUCACCCCAAUAAAAUAUAAUUAUUUAUUAUAAUAAAAAUAAUCUAUAAAAUUAAAAUAAAUAAUUAUAUAAAGAUUUAUAGGGUCUUCUCGUCUUUUAAUUAAAUUUUAGCUUUUUGACUAAAAAAUAAAAUUUUAUUAUAAUUUUAAAUGAAACAGUUAAUACUUCGUCCAACCAUUCAUUCUAGCCUUCAAUUAAAAGACUAAUGAUUAUGCUACCUUUGCACAGUUAAAAUACUGCGGCCAUUUAAAUAUUCAGUGG